AUUCAUUGAUUCAAUUCAUCUCUAUGAGGAGAUGCUGAUUGGCCAGGGCUGUGUUUGAAUCAUGCUGACUCUGCCCCUGAUCUGCCUCUUUGUCAGUCUCAGCCAAUCCUAUGGGGAAGCACUGUGAUUGAAUCAGGCUACCACAUGUCAGCAGACUGCUUGUUUUUCUGAGUCUAACAGCAUGCAGAUUUACAGCUUCAGGCUUGAAUACAG